UUUUUUUUUUUUUCUUUUUUUUAGUUUUGAAAAUUAAGCACCUAACUAUUAUUAUUUUGUGUGGUUAAAACAUUUAUGUUGUAUUUGGAUACAUGAAUUUGAAUCCAUGAAUUUUGAUUUAGAUCAAAUACCUUAUUUGGGAGGUUUAAAAAAUAUGGAUUUGAAUUUUGAUCAAAUCCAAGGUAAAUAUAAAGAUUUUAAAAAAGUAAGAAUUUAAAAUAACAAUCUUACCUAUGUUAUUUGAAAUUCAA
rnacentral:misc_RNA from 1 species